CCUACGGGAGGCAGCAGUGGGGAAUAUUGGACAAUGGGGGGAACCCUGAUCCAGCGACGCCGCGUGAGUGAAGAAGUAUUUCGGUAUGUAAAGCUCUAUCAGCAGGGAAGCAAGAAAUGACGGUACCUGACUAAGAAGCCCCGGCUAACUACGUGCCAGCAGCCGCGGCAAUACGUAGGGGGCAAGCGUUAUCCGGAUUUACUGGGUGUAAAGGGAGCGUAGACGGCGAUGCAAGUCUGACGUGAAAGGCGGGGGCCCAACCCCCGGACUGCUGUUGAAACUGGAUGGCUGGAGUGCAGGAGAGGUAAGUGGAAUGCGUGGUGUAGCGGUGAAAUGCGUGGAUAUUAGGAGGAACACCAGUGGCGAAGGCGGCUUACUGGACUGUAACUGACGUUGAGGCACGAAAGCGUGGGGAGCGAACAGGAUUAGAUACCCGAGUAGUC
rnacentral:rRNA from 1 species